rnacentral:lncRNA from 1 species
GGCGGCGUAGAAGAGGAAAGGCUGGGGGUUUCGGAUGGUUGUUUUUGAAGCCAUCAGUAUUCUUGAAGAAGCAGCAUAUCUUGAACUGUCCUAUGGGUGAAGGCUUUGAUGUGGUCCUGUAAAAACUGAGGAAGAUUUGGAGGAUCAUCUGAAUACCCAUCCAACAGAGAUCCAUGAUUCAUGUAUUUCUCAAGACAGCCAUACACUAAAAUUAUAAGAUCAUAAGAAUAUUAAUUAUAUUCUACCAAUGCAAUACAAGCAUUGAAAUGGAUGGCAUCUGAUCCUGCUUCAUGUGAUUCUUCAUUUAGCUCUGGACUCUUUACAUCAUUAAGUUGUAAUGGUUUCCAGGUUAUGGCACUGGUAGAGGAUCGUGACUGCAAGUUGUCCAGGUUCUUGGUGUUUUGAACAAAGAAUUCGACAAAUCUCACAGCAAAGAAAAGAAAGAAUAAAGCAACAGAAGAACGAAAGCAGGAAUUUAUUGAAAACGAAAGCACACUGCACGCAGUGUGGGAGUGGACCUCAGCAGUGGCUGGCUUUUUCUUUGCAGGAAUUUAAAAGCAACCCUAUGAAUAUAACAUUUGUCAAAAAGAGCAAGUGCCAAGCCAGUUGAGAAUAACCUUACAAUGUGUACAAGGAUUCCAGUUCUGCUGCUAUAUAAACCAGCCUCAAAUGCUUAUGCAACAUGAAAAUGGCAAGGAUGAAGGAAGAAGUGUUAUCAAUUCUGUUGAUGGACCCCUUAAUCUCUUCUACUGAUUAUCUUCUACUUGAACCAGUGCCAAAUUAAUGUUGCAAGCUUUGUCUUGAAAUAUGUAAGACUUAUAACUUUGUUGUUAUUCCACUCGAUUGUGAUGAAUAUGGGU